rnacentral:tRNA from 1 species
CGGGGUGUAGCUCAGCUUGGAAGAGCACCUGCUUUGGGAGCAGGGGGCCGCUGGUUCAAAUCCAGUCACCCCGACCA